GAAGCACGUGCUUGACGUGUAAGGUUUCCAAAUUUCAAAAACCCUAGCUUUCUCUGGAUUUGGAUCGAAAGGUCGCGAUCAAAAUGGCUGAUUUCCGAGGAUCAGUACCAAUAGGAUGACGUGUUUUAGGGGUAGCGAUGAAAAACAGACAUUUCUACAAGGAAGUGCUUAAAGCCGAGAAGGAAUCUUAAUUACGGGGCCAGUUGCUGAAAUAUAUAUUCCAGAGAUAUAGAGGCUGCAAGCUGCUGAUUAAAUUCCGCAAGCUGGCAUGCACGAUGUGUAUUCAUAGCUUCCGGUCGUCUUCAACCCAACCCUCUUGCUUAAGCAUUGAAAUGUUGCAGUCCUUAUGGUCAAGACACUGGCCACAUUUAUGACAUGGCCUAGCCAACCGGUGAUGGAUGGCUUUCUAGGAAUCAGCAGGAAAAGGAAACGAAAGUGUUCAUUGCAGAGAGGUGCAGAAUUUGCCUAGUGGUGAGAUAUUAUCGCACCGAAAAGGAUGAUGCCAUGCCCCCCGUCUUUAAGAAAUUAAAAGACAUAGCAUGUUAUCACCAAUAUACUUUUAAGAGGUACUAGAGGCAGAGGAUACGGAACCAGGAAUCCCACUACUGUUUGGUCCUAUGCCUAGGGGGCUUGUUACGGUUAAUAGCUUAUGGCACGUUCAAAUUUGUUGGUUGCUGUAAUGGAGAAAUGGGGAAGAUGCAUUGCUAGUCUUGUGAGCAUAUGAUAUAUAAUAAUUUCACUUCUAUGUUUAUUUUUUCAAUACAAAAUUUAGUUGAACAAGACCAUGUCCAAGUAAAUUGCAUUUUGUUUAUAUAAUUAGUGGUUUUUGGGAUUUA